rnacentral:rRNA from 1 species
GUGUCAGCAGCCGCGGUAAUACGUAGGGUGCAAGCGUUAAUCGGAAUUACUGGGCGUAAAGCGUGCGCAGGCGGUUGUGUAAGUCUGAUGUGAAAGCCCCGGGCUCAACCUGGGAACGGCAUUGGAGACUGCACAGCUAGAGUGCGUCAGAGGGGGGUAGAAUUCCACGUGUAGCAGUGAAAUGCGUAGAGAUGUGGAGGAAUACCGAUGGCGAAGGCAGCCCCCUGGGAUGACACUGACGCUCAUGCACGAAAGCGUGGGGAGCAAACAGGAUUAGAUACCCCCGUAGUCC